GCAUCGGUGGUUCAGUGGUAGAAUGCUCGCCUGCCACGCGGGCGGCCAGGGUUCGAUUCCCGUCUGAGGCA